CCUACGGGAGACUGCAGUGGGGAAUAUUGCACAAUGGGGGAAACCCUGAUGCAGCGACGCCGCGUGAGUGAAGAAGUAUUUCGGUACGUAAAGCUCUAUUAGCAGGGAAGAAAAUGACGGUACGUGAAUAAGAAGCCCCGGCCAAAUACGUGCCAGCAGCCGCGGUAAUACGUAGGGGGCAAGCGUUAUCCGGAUUUACUGGGUGGAAAGGGAGCGUAGACGGCAGCGCAAGUCUGGAGUGAAAUCCCAUGGCUUAACCAUGGGACUGCUUUGGAAACUGUGCAGCUAGAGUGCAGGAGAGGUAAGCGGAAUUCCUAGUGUAGCGGUGAAAUGCGUAGAUAUUAGGAGGAACACCAGUGGCGAAGGCGGCUUACUGGACUGUAACUGACGUUGAGGCUCGAAAGCGUGGGGAGCAAACAGGAUUAGAUACCCCUGUAGUC
rnacentral:rRNA from 1 species